rnacentral:rRNA from 1 species
GAUGAACGCUGGCGGCGUGCCUAAUACAUGCAAGUCGAGCGAACGGACGAGAAGCUUGCUUUUCUGAUGUUAGCGGCGGACGGGUGAGUAACACGUGGAUAACCUACCUAUAAGACUGGGAUAACUUCGGGAAACCGGAGCUAAUACCGGAUAAUAUUUUGAACCGCAUGGUUCAAAAGUGAAAGACGGUCUUGCUGUCACUUAUAGAUGGAUCCGCGCUGCAUUAGCUAGUUGGUAAGGUAACGGCUUACCAAGGCAACGAUGCAUAGCCGACCUGAGAGGGUGAUCGGCCACACUGGAACUGAGACACGGUCCAGACUCCUACGGGAGGCAGCAGUAGGGAAUCUUCCGCAAUGGGCGAAAGCCUGACGGAGCAACGCCGCGUGAGUGAUGAAGGUCUUCGGAUCGAAAAACUCUGUUAUUAGGGAAGAACAUAUGUGUAAGUAACUGUGCACAUCUUGACGGUACCUAAUCAGAAAGCCACGGCUAACUACGUG